AACGCACAUUGCGCCCCUUGGUAUUCCGAGGGGCAUGCCUGUUCGAGCGUCAUUCAAGCCCUCCAGCCCCGCUGGAUGUUGGGCGCGGUCCGACCGGACCCGCCUGGAACCCGUGGGGCGGGACCGUCCGGUACCGAGCGUAGCACGAUUUACUCCCUCGCUCCGGUAGCCUGGCGGCCCCCGCCCGGGAACACCCUCCAUCGCUUGACCUCGGAUCAGGUAGGGAUACCCGCUGAACUUAA
rnacentral:misc_RNA from 1 species